GUGCUUUGCGUUACUUGGCAGCGACGGCUUUUUUGGCCGAUGCGGCUGGAGCCUUAGCAGUCUUGGCUGCGUUCAACUCGCCCAAGGCACGC
rnacentral:tRNA from 1 species